rnacentral:sRNA from 2 species
GCAAUGGUCGACUAGGGUUCCGGUUCGCUGAGCAAUGCCUGCAGCGAAUGGCUGGUCCGAGAGUCGACGACCUCACGCAGUGGCCACGGCCAAGGGGUUACACGGCGGGAUAAAAGCCCGGGAGAA